CAGCCGCCGCGGGAAUACGUAGGUGGCAAGCGUUGUCCGGAAUUAUUGGGCGUAAAGAGCUCGCAGGCGGUUUCUUAAGUCUGAUGUGAAAGCCCCCGGCUCAACCGGGGAGGGUCAUUGGAAACUGGGAAACUUGAGUGCAGAAGAGGAGAGUGGAAUUCCACGUGUAGCGGUGAAAUGCGUAGAGAUGUGGAGGAACACCAGUGGCGAAGGCGACUCUCUGGUCUGUAACUGACGCUGAGGAGCGAAAGCGUGGGGAGCGAACAGGAUUAGAGACCCGGGUAGUCCCUGUCUCUUAUAA
rnacentral:rRNA from 1 species